UAUGCUAACGGCUACAGCAAGUCGAGCCUUUGUCCCCUUCAAAUGUGCUCAUGUGGGCUCCUGCAGCCACACACCUGUGUGGAGAAAAGCUAAUGGCUAUCGGCAUCGAGCGGCUACAGGCAGGGAGCGGUGGGUCUAGCGUCUGUCCUUUUUCUGUAAUCACAUACACCUGCGGGGAACAGCUGAUCGUUAUCGCCCUUCCAGCAGCGACAGACAGGAAGCGGUGGAUCUAGCUCGCUGUAGUAAGUUUGUGCUUGAUACUUGUGAUAUCUAAAUAUGUUAGUUAGGUCUGUUUAAAAUGCAGUAACCCACAUGUGAGACAAGCUAAUCGCUAGCGUCGCUAACGGCUACAGUGAGUCAACCGAGCCUUUGUCCCUUUCAAAUGUGCUACUCUGAGUUGGUGCAACCACACACCUGUGUGGGGAACAGCUAAUAGCGAUGGGCCUUCGAUCGGCGACAGGCAGGAAGCGGUGGAUCGAGCUUUUGUCCUGUUGAUGUGCUGCCGCUCCUGUUUGUGUUGCGUUAGCCGUUAGCAUGCCUUUAGGCCUUUGCACUUUAGAGCUACAGCUGGUCGAUCGCUACAAAAAGAACCUGCAGAUGAACGCGGUUAUGUUUAUUACCCCGUCCUGUGUCACAGCCUAAAUCAACUUGUGAUUUGGGGUUAUGUCAUUGUUCUAUCAAAUUCUAACAUGAUUAGUUGGAAUGAUUACUGUGUUGUGUUUCAAGCUUAGUUGCUAAUUAGUCACAUCUCUACAACACCUGCUGCUUAUCUGGUCAGUUACCGAUAGCUUGUACCAUAGCCAUUAUAUUUGUAGGACCAAUACAAUUUACAGUAAAUGUAACAGUCUUUUCUAUACUGUAGGAGGGCAAAUCCCAGUUGCCCACAUGCAAGGAGGCUGUGAAACAGAGAAAUCACUGCAGACUGUUGGUACACAGACAUCUGCUGCCCAGCUCAGGAGUGAAGUACCUUUUUGUUUCGAUGAGGUGAUGGUGAGGACAGCCACAGCUUCCAUCUGGUAGAGGACUGCUUCCGCUCAGUCUUCCAAAUAGUGAUGAGAACAAGGAUCACCACAUCUCCCUGUUUACCCUACUUUCAUGCAUUUCGUCUGCAGGGCCCUGCAAAAGCUUCUCCUUCGUCCUCAAACCCCCAGACUUCUUAAUUAACUCAGUAACCUAUACAUUGCACAUUGGAGUGUGAAGGUAACAGUUUGUUCUAGCUUUGGAGUAGUGGUGUAUUUUUUUGGUUUACAAUAAAGUUGGCUUUAACUAUUA